rnacentral:rRNA from 1 species
AUUGAACGCUGGCGGCAGGCCUAAUACAUGCAAGUCGAGCGAGCGGCGGACGGGUGAGUAAUGUAUGGGGACUGCCCGAUAGAGGGGGAUAACUACUGGAAACGGUGGCUAAUACUGCAUACUAUCGGAUAACCCAUAUGGGAUUAGCUAGUAGGUGGGGUAAAGGCUCACCUAGGCGACGAUCGCUAGCUGGUCUUAGAGGAUGAUCAGGCACAGUGGGACGGAGACACGGCCCAGACUCCUGCGGAGGCAGCGGUGGGGAAUAUUGCACAAUGGGCACAAGCCUGAAGCAGCCAGGCCGCGUGUAUGAAGAAGGCCUUAGGGUUGUAAAGUACUUUCAGCGGGGAGGCGUUACCCACAGAAGAAGCACCGGCUAACUCCGUGCCAGCCGCCUCGGUAAUAC